UACGUAGGGUGCAAGCGUUGUCCGGAAUUAUUGGGCGUAAAGAGCUCGUAGGCGGUUUGUCGCGUCUGCUGUGAAAACUCGGGGCUUAACCCCGGGCCUGCAGUGGGUACGGGCAGACUAGAGUGCGGUAGGGGAGACUGGAAUUCCCGGUGUAGUGGUGAAAUGCGUAGAUAUCGGGAGGAACACCAGUGGCGAAGGCGACUACCUGGCCUGUUCUUGACGCUGAGGCGCGAAAGCUAGGGGAGCAAACGGG
rnacentral:rRNA from 1 species